CAGGCCUUUCCAACGUGUCCAUGUUGACCGAAGGACGUGUCUCAAUCGGGCGUCACGAUGCAAUGGAGAAAUCGGCAAGUUUCAAGAACUUUUAUGUGUUGUGUACAACGAAAUCUGCACUCAAACCAAGCAGGCAUUGCAGAAAUAUGAGGUAUGAGGGGCGGCAAGUUUCCAAACUAUGUACAACAUUCGAGAGAAUCUGCCCGGAGACCAAGCAGGUGACUGAAGUUGAGUCGUCAUGAGGAAAGUAUUUUGCAGAAAUGGGUUUCGCAUGUCUCGAUGGCUUCGACCAGGAACGAGAAUUUCAGAAAUCAGAAUAGAUGCAUGUCUUGUGGACCUUAUUCUCAUCGCUGGAGUUCCUCAGGAACACAAGGAUUAAGGUCCGAAGUGAUGGCAUUAUGCAUUUCAGGCAUGAGACGAUGUCGGACUGCUGAUAACCUACCUGUUUUUUUAGGGAUGGCGGGGUGCAUUUCACAGAUGAAGUGACUGCAGUGUAAAAAUCGGUGACUGCAGAGGUCUUUUAAACCAACUUAUGUUUAAGGGAUGACUUAAAGAUGACUUGAACCAUUCUUCUUGGUAGCCGGAGACAAGCAGACACUGCUCAAGGACCAAUUCAAGUGUGUUAAUUAACUCUGGACAUCAGUGUGCACUAGGAACAGGACCAAUUCAAGUGUGUUAAUUAACUCUGGACAUCAGUGUGCACUAGGAACAGGUUCAGCCAGCCCUCUGAGCAAAGAAAACGACUUGAAACAUUUCUAUGCAAGAGAUUGGUCUGGAGCUGUAUUGGAUGAAACCUGAAGAAAUAAACAGAACCAUGUGGGUUUCCCAACGCGAAAAAUUACUCUUUGGAAAUAGACUGAAUGCUUAAUCAACUUAUUUUAUGUCUCUUUAUUAACAUACUGUUUUUCCUUAAACAUUUCAUAAUAAUUCAAAUUAUCAUCUAAAAAAAAACAAUUUUUUUUUAAAUAGUUUUGCUUGUAGAACUUUAAAAAUCUUAUAAAUACAUCUGUUUCAGAACUGCUUACAAAGUAUUAAUAUCGUAUGGUCACAUGUUAUAGACCCUCAUAUGUUGUGAACCCAAACUUUGACUCCUGUUUACCGUGCGACUGCGCAAGACAAUUUCGCUAUUCCUAAUGGUGGGGACCGCGUCACGUGGGUGUGUAUAAACCUUUGUUUAUGACCGAUAAAAAGUGUUAAUUCAUGGGCGUGACACGCGACC